AAUAUGACUCGCAAAGGGGUUAGUAGCACAGUAUGGUCCAAAGAGGCUGUGAAUGCUUUUGAGACUCUUAAACAAAGAUUUGCCUCUGCGGACAUACUAAAACAUCCUGACACCAGUAAACCUUUUAUAUUGGAGGUUGAUGCAUCCGAGACAGGGGUAGGGGCUGUUCUCUCUGAGAGAAAGCCAGGGAACACCAUUGCAUCCUUGUGGCUACUUCUCCAGAAAGAUGUCUCCUGCUGAGCGCAACUAUGAUAUUGGCAAUAGAG